AUACGUAGGGGGCGAGCGUUGUCCGGAAUGAUUGGGCGUAAAGGGCGCGUAGGCGGCCUGUUAAGUCUGGAGUGAAAGUCCUGUUUUCAAGAUGGGAAUUGCUUUGGAUACUGAUGGGCUUGAGUGCAGGAGAGGUUAUCGGAAUUCCCGGUGUAGCGGUGAAAUGCGUAGAGAUCGGGAGGAACACCAGUGGCGAAGGCGGGUAACGGGAAUGCAACUGACGCUGAGGCGCGAAAGUGUGGGGAGCAAACAGGAUUAGAUACCCUGGUAGUCCACACUGUAAACGAUGAAUGCUAGGUGUAGGGGGUAUCGACCCCUUCUGUGCCGCAGUCAACACAAUAAGCAUUCCGCCUGGGGAGUACGGCCGCAAGGUUGAAACUCAAAUGAAUUGACGGGG
rnacentral:rRNA from 1 species